rnacentral:lncRNA from 1 species
UUUUAAUCUCCCUGUUUAAACAAAUAUCUUUUGUUAAAAGUGUUUUGUUUGUCUGAUUUUUUUUUCCCAUAAUGAAAAAAAUGUAAUAAGCAAGUUGAAUUUAGCAUGAUGAGCAAACAAUGUAUUUGUUAGCAGUGUUUAAAUCUUCUAUAUUGCUUAAAAAACUAAGGAAUUUUUCAGUGUAAUUAAACUUUGUUUAUUGACUGUUUAACAAAAUCUAUUUUUAUAAAUAAUAUUUUUAUAUACAUACUUUGUACAAUCUAAU